GAUGAUGAUUUAAAAUCAAGAUUUCUCGUGGAUGGACUGCUGCUGCAAAAUUGCAGACAAGUAUCUUUUGGCUGUGACCUUUGUUUAUUUCAAGAGAGCUAAAUUUACUAUAAAUGAGCAUAUCAGGAUAAAUUUCUUUAUUGCUCUGUAUCUGGCUAAUAUGAUUGAAAAAGAUGAAGAAGAAGCCAACCUAUGAAAAUUUUUCAAUGGGCUUUAGGGAAAAACUGGAGAAAAUUGUUCCCUAAUUUCUUAAAGUUAAGGGACCAACUCUGGGACAGAAUUGACUAUAGGGCUGUUGUAAGCAGGCAAUGCUGUGAAGAGGUAA